ACUCCUACGGGAGGCUGCAGUGGGGAAUUUUCCGCAAUGGGCGCAAGCCUGACGGAGCAAUACCGCGUGAGGGAGGAAGGCUCUUGGGUCGUAAACCUCUUUUCUCAGGGAAGAACAAAAUGACGGUACCUGAGGAAUCAGCAUCGGCUAACUCCGUGCCAGCAGCCGCGGUAAUACGGAGGAUGCAAGCGUUAUCCGGAAUGAUUGGGCGUAAAGCGUCCGUAGGUGGUUAUGUAAGUCUGUGGUUAAAGCGUGGGGCUCAACCCCAUAAGGGCCAUGGAAACUACAAGACUUGAGUAAAGUAGGGGUAGAGGGAAUUCCCAGUGUAGCGGUGAAAUGCGUAGAGAUUGGGAAGAACACCGGUGGCGAAAGCGCUCUACUGGACUUAAACUGACACUGAGGGACGAAAGCUAGGGGAGCGAAAGGGAUUAGAUACCCCUGUAGUCCUAGCCGUAAACGAUGGAUACUAGGUGUUGCCCGUAUCGACCCGGGCAGUGCCGUAGCUAAUGCGUUAAGUAUCCCGCCUGGGGAGUACGCACGCAAGUGUGAAACUCAAAGGAAUUGACGGGGGCCCGCACAAGCGGUGGAGUAUGUGGUUUAAUUCGAUGCAACGCGAAGAACCUUACCAGGGCUUGACAUGUCUAGAAUUCUUGCGAAAGUAGGAAGUGCCUUCGGGAGCUAGAACACAGGUGGUGCAUGGCUGUCGUCAGCUCGUGUCGUGAGAUGUUGGGUUAAGUCCCGCAACGAGCGCAACCCUCGUUUUUAGUUGCCAUCAUUCAGUUGGGCACUCUAGAAAGACUGCCGGUGACAAACCGGAGGAAGGUGGGGAUGACGUCAAGUCAGCAUGCCCCUUACGCCCUGGGCUACACACGUACUACAAUGCUAUGGACAAAGGGCAGCCAACUGGCGACAGUGCGCUAAUCCCAUAAACCAUGGCUCAGUUCAGAUUGCAGGCUGCAACUCGCCUGCAUGAAGGCGGAAUCGCUAGUAAUCGCAGGUCAGCAUACUGCGGUGAAUCCGUUCCCGGGCCUUGUACACACCGCCCGU
rnacentral:rRNA from 1 species